rnacentral:lncRNA from 1 species
UCUGUCUGUUUGCCUUUUUUAUGCUUCUCUGUUACAUAUGUGUUUGUUUUGUUUACACAUUCUAAAGUCAUAAAUCAAUUAAGUCUAUUAUGAUAUGGUUUGUUAAUACACUAGUUUACAUUCAUUCUCCUUUUUAGACCAUUUCUAUAGCACUUCGCUGUCUUAUCAUGCUGUUUUUAUAGUGGAAGAUAUUAGCAAGCAAAAUCGAGUGAAUUGUGC